CCUACGGGUGGCAGCAGUGGGGAAUAUUGGACAAUGGGCGAAAGCCUGAUCCAGCCAUGCCGCGUGUGUGAAGAAGGCCUUCGGGUUGUAAAGCACUUUCAGUGGGGAAGAAAGCCUUGGGGCUAAUACCCUCGAGGAAGGACAUCACCCACAGAAGAAGCACCGGCUAACUCCGUGCCAGCAGCCGCGGUAAUACGGAGGGUGCGAGCGUUAAUCGGAAUUACUGGGCGUAAAGCGCGCGUAGGCGGUCUGAUAAGCCGGUUGUGAAAGCCCCGGGCUCAACCUGGGAACGGCAUCCGGAACUGUCAGGCUAGAGUGCAGGAGAGGAAGGUGGAAUUCCCGGUGUAGCGGUGAAAUGCGUAGAGAUCGGGAGGAAUACCAGUGGCGAAGGCGGCCUUCUGGACUGACACUGACGCUGAGGUGCGAAAGCGUGGGUAGCAAACAGGAUUAGAUACCCGAGUAGUC
rnacentral:rRNA from 1 species